rnacentral:rRNA from 1 species
UGGGGAAUAUUGCACAAUGGGCGAAAGCCUGAUGCAGCAACGCCGCGUGAGUGAUGAAGGCCUUCGGGUUGUAAAGCUCUGUCUUCUGGGACGAUAAUGACGGUACCAGGGGAGGAAGCCCCGGCUAACUACGUGCCAGCAGCCGCGGUAAUACGUAGGGGGCAAGCGUUGUCCGGAUUUACUGGGUGAAAAGGGCGCGCAGGCGGGAUAAAAAGUCAGUGGUGAAAUCCUACAGCUUAACUGUAGAACUGCCUUUGAUACUUUUAUUCUUGAGUUCGGGAGAGAGAGACGGAAUUCCAGGUGUAGUGGUGAAAUACGUAGAUAUCUGGAAGAACACCAGUUGCGAAGGCGGUCUCUUGGUCCGACACUGACGCUGAGGCGCGAAAGCGUGGGGAGCAAACA